GACGAACGCUGGCGGCGUGGAUUAGGCAUGCAAGUCGAACGGUAUCAUCCUUUCGGGGGUGAGAGAGUGGCGAACUGGUGAGUAACACGUAGGUUAUCUACCCUCAAGACGGGGACAACCCAGGGAAACUUGGGCUAAUACCGGAUGUGAGCAACUUUUAGUUGUUUGAAAGGUGGCGUAAGCUGUCGCUUGGGGAUGAGCCUGCGUCCUAUUAGUUAGUUGGUGAGGUAACGGCUCACCUAGGCAAUGAUAGGUAGGCGGCCUUAACGGGUGGUCGCCCACACUGGGAUUGAGAUACGGCCCAGACUCCUACGGGAGGCAGCAGUCGAGAAUAGUCUACAAUGGUCGGAAGACUGAUAGUGCGACGCCGCGUGAACGAUGAAUCCCUUCGGGGUGUAAAGUUCUUUUAUAUGUGAGCAGUGCUUCUUAUAUUAACAGUAUGGGGAAGAGAUAUUAGCAUAUAGAAUAAGCAACGGCUAACUCCGUGCCAGCAGCCGCGGUAA
rnacentral:rRNA from 1 species